rnacentral:tRNA from 1 species
AAGCCCCGUCAGAAAUUUUUUCUGCUUGUGAGGUUUGCGGUCUCGGUUCAGGGCC